AACACUAACAGUAGUGAGAAUUAUCAACAAGGCUACAGAAAUUCUUCCCCGGCUCCUAAAGAACUGGAUGUUCUCCUGCUGUCAUCAUCUCCAGGCCCAUCUGUGCAUGGGGGUCACCACCCCAUGCAGCCCCUUCGGCAUCGCUUCUCACUCAAGUGUGUUAGUAUAGUGUAAGCCACUUGCCUACUCACCACCAGUGUGAGCAUUUCAGCAUUUGUAAAUCUACUUCAGGGAGAUGGGACACAUAGCAUAUGAAACUAUCAACACAAUGAGCUGUUCAGAAUUGCUGAUCAACCAAGAAUACAGAUGACCAUGACUCUGGAAAAAGCAUCCAUAAAGGGACAGCGCGACAUAGAUAAGAAGGGUAACAGACACAAAUAAUGAGAGGAACCCAGAUAAUCUAGACUAGUGGUGCUCAGACUUGAAUGUGCACUGGAUUCACCGAGAGGGUUUGACAAGCACAGAUUGUUUGAACCCAGCCUAUAGUUUCUGAUCCAGAGGCCUGGGAUAGGGCAGAAGAUUCCAUAAUUCUUCCUGACUCCAAAGUGGUUAUGGUGAUGGUUGCAGGGCAAAAUUCUGAGAACCCCAAGAGCGCUAAGCAACUGCUCUGUCACUGAGCUACAUCCUCAGCUGAGCUGUGAUUUUAACAGAUUCUCUUUCCUAGCUCUGUCUGCUAAAAAGGCCGUGGUGCAGUGACUCCUUGCAAGAAAGGAUGAAGACAAAGAUCUGUGAAUAAAUUAACUCCUCUCAGGUCACACUGUAGUGUGCGUUAAGAUUCCAUGUCUGUGAACUUUACAUGGUGUGCUUUUGGAUGUUUCCUAUGUGCCUACUUUCCAAGACACGUCAUGGCUUUGAGGACAAGGACACUUACAAACACAAACCAGAACCCUCUAGUGUGCCUGGAUCAUCACUCCACACACAGCCAGGGUUUAGUGAGCACUGAUGCAUGUGCUUCAUUCUCGGUGUGGCUCUGAUUAUGAGUGCCAGGGCACGGGUGUGUGACAAGGGCCUGAGUUAAGUUAUGGGACAUGAAACCUCCAUCCUGGUGUGUCAGUUCUGGUUCUGAUCCAGCUGUUCUGUUGCUCAGAACCCUGUGAGACGUGAUGUGUGGGCACUGGGUCUUGCGUUGCUUUGGGUAAUAAAUAACUGGCAUUUAUGAAAGAAUGCACACCUACUGGAACAGUGGAGGACUGUGGAUUGUGCGAAUACCAGAGGUUAGAUGGGUCAGGAGACAGCUCUGCGCAGGCGACCACACAGUGCCAGAAGGCUCCAGGCAGGCUUUCAGGGAAACCGUGA
rnacentral:lncRNA from 1 species